ensembl:lncRNA
UUAUUGAUGGCCAGAGCUUCUGAGCUGCUGUGGAAUGGAAAUGUUUCUCCUAGCCAGAGUUAAUAGGUCUAAGUGGGAAUUGACUUUCGCUACACAACACUAACCAGACACAAAGCUUUUCUCAUCCGUUACAACUGUGUCAGGAAGAUGAGAGGGGGUUGCUGAGUCCAACAUGGAAAGGGCUUUUUCUUUACCCAUGAUGAAAUUGGAAGUAAGCACUGUUUAUCUUUGACUGCAAAAGGUGGAAACUGUAGUCCUCCAUGGCAGCAGAUUGUUGGAAAAUAAAGCAGCCUUCCUAGAUGAUUCAUUGUUGUGCUGUGGUAUCAUGCCGAUGUUGUGGCAAAGGGUGAGCUAGGCCUUUGCUGAAGUCUGGGGGUAGUUUGAGGGAUUUUCUUUAGGUUACGCAAAGCCUGGCUUCAAAGUCUGUGUCAAAAUUGGGGUGAUUAGAGACAGGAGUUUUUCCUGACCUUGUGGCCCCUUACCUGCAAAAAUGUUGAAUAUUAUUAUUUUUUUUUUUUAAUUUAUAUUUUUUUUAGCUUUUUGGUUAGUAUACAGUAUAGUCCAGUGAUUAAGUUCAUAGAGAGAUUUUGGUUUAGCUGUGUGAUGUUGGCCCAUUAUCUACUCUCUAGUCUCCUCUGUACAUUUUUAUUCUCAGGAGGCCACCCACUACACCAUUGAUGCCCUAGUUGAGAGGUAGUCUGACUCAAAAUUGCAUUUUUUUCCCGCCAAUAUCAAGUUAAAUGCAGGGAAGGUCUGGAAGCUGUUUUCUUAGAUGAGUAUGGACAAAAACUUUCAGGAGUCUCAGAAAUUACUAUUUAAUGAGAGCAAAGAUGAUUUAAAUGAAACGAAGAGAAAGUUAGAGGAGAGAAGUCAUUCUUUGUUACGCACUGACCAUAGAGAGCCCUUGUUUCUCUAUGGUGUAGUAGGUCAGGGCGUGACUGGGGAUAUUCCAGUUUAUUAUUUCUAUGUGGUGUUCUAGUUUAUUUUUCUAUGUUGGUGAUUUGUAUGAUUCCCAAUUAGAGGCAGCUGGUAAUCAUUGUCUCUAAUUACUCUAAUUACUCCCUUACUGCUGCUCGAUCAUCCUAUUUUUCUAACUUAAUUGAGGAAAAUAAGAACAAUCCGAAAUUCCUUUUUGAUACUGUCGCAAAGCUAACUAAAAAGCAGCAUUCCCCAAGAGAGGAUGACUUUCACUUUAGCAGUGAUAAAUUCAUGAACUUC